rnacentral:lncRNA from 10 species
CUCCCUGAUUUAUUGGUGUGGGUCAUGCGUGAAUUAGGCUGUCCCCUUUUGAGGGAGCAGCUCGGAUGGUGGCGUAACCUCGCAGGCCCUGGGCAGGGGCUCCGGGGAAUUCCUGGCCAAAAGGCUUCUCAUCUGUAACUGGUGAAGCCCGGAAGAGCUUGUUGUUCAAGAGGAAAUCUUGUGUUACUUCUUUAUGAAGGACUCCAGCCUGGUGGAGAUGAAUGAGUCCUGAAGAUGGAAUCGAAGCUGUUUGGGCACAAACAAGGUUUCACUCUUGUUGCCCAGGCUGGAGUGCAAUGGUGUGAUCUAGGCUCACUGCAACCUCCACCUCCCGGGUUCAAGUGAUUCUCCUGUCUCAGGCUCCCAAGUAGGUGGGAUUACAGUACUUUAAUCAGCAUUUAAUGACCCAGUCGAAAAUUCAUUGUUUGGACCCAAGCACUGGUGGGAAAGGCAGGAGGGGAGGCCUGCCUUCCUUCCUCCCUCCCGAGCCCUACAGCAGGCCAUGGAGUGGUGAGCGAGUUCGUACAGUGCCAACCACAUUCCCAGAAACUUCCAGCAGAGGUUAAUCCUGCUCCUCUCAGGUGGGCUUGGCCCAUUCUCUAGACUUUGGAAGGUAAUGUUCUAUAGAGGCCUGUUCUGAAGCUUUACCAGGUCAAACCGGAGAAGAACCCAACAAGUAACUCAUCCCAGCCUAACUAUUCUUCAAGGGCAAUCAACCUACAGCAUCCAAGCACAGAGAAAUCAAAUCCAUGGAGAAUCUUCAAAUUAGGCUCAGAAUCCAUUUGGGUCAAUGAAUUUACUGUUAUUAAGAUCUUAGUUGUGUUCAACCAUGAUUUGACAUACCUUAGAGUGAGAAGAUAUUCUUCCUGGCCUCAGACUAGUUGAAGGUAGAGAGAGAGACAGGCCCUUGGGUGUGGGGAGACCUCUCCUGGGAUAAUACACACAAAAAACCAAGAGCUGCUCACUGUGGUGCAGGAGACAGCAGGGCCUGAAGCCAGAGGCUCUGUGUCCUUGAAUACAAUGUUUUACUCCUCUGACCCCUGUUACUGUGAUUUGGAGAGGCAGACAAUAUAGGAUGGGCUUUGCAGGCAGGGAGGUCCAGUUAUAAUCCCAGCUCUUACUAAGUUGGGUAAGACUCACUCUGAGACUUAGUUUCUUCUGUCAUCUCUCAAUAGAAUCAUAAAGGUACUUUCCUCUUAGUGUUGUUUUAAAAUUCAGUAAAAUAAUGCAGGCUUAGCACAGGGUCUGAUGUAAAUUUUCAAUGAAUUAUCGUUGUCAAUAUUGUUCUGGAAAACAAGAGGGCAUAUUAGAAGAUCAAAAGUACUGCCAAGCAUUGAAGUGCCAAUUCUAGAUCCAGUCUCAGCCCUCUGAGAAUGGAUAUCAUUGUUUUCAAGCCAUUCAGAAACCAAUGUGAAUUGAACACCUAGUAUGAGCUCUCUGAGGGAAGAGCCAAGUCAUGCAUUUUUUAUCUUAAGGGGUCUUCAAUACCUCUAGCCCAAAACAGUAUCUCCAUCAGGAUUCUUCUCUGAUAGUGUUCAUUUCUUUUUUCUCAAUGGAUGCCUUAAAAAAAAAAUCCUACAAGGAAACCUGUACUCCUCAAAUACACCACUCAGGUGACCAUUAAAUCAUUUACAUUGUUAAUUUCUUUUCAGAUGUGUGUCUUUUUCCCUAGUUACAUCAUCAGGACCUUGAAGGUAGGGACAGGUCUUAGAUUUCUUGAUGCCCCCAUAAAUCUAGGUACAGAGUAGGUCUCUGGACAUCAGUAUAAGGCCCAUGAGCCUGAUAGCUGCCCAGGUGGGUGCUGUGUGCCUGGGCGUGGGAAGGACAAAAGAGAGGUCACUAAAGGGGUUCCUGGGAAGGAAGAGCCCCUCUGACUUUAAAAGGGAGCCCAUACACUUUUUGGACAACUGGAAUAAUCAGAAAGCUGUUUUUGGGGAGGCAGCAGCCAGAAAAACCUGGGGCAUUGGGUCAACCAAAGCCCUUCCCAAGGCUGCAGUGGCUGCAGCUAGUUAGCCCAGCUUCCCUACCAGCCCCAGGGCUGCAACUGAACAGUGUUGGCUUCUUAAUAAAAACAG